UCCCAGCAGUCCGAGUCGCAGCCACAUUUGUUGGGUCUAAAACAUCCGUAGCUUGUCUUUCAAGUCUUUUGUGAAAUCGGGACUCUUAAGGUUCCGGCGGGCAAAAGAUACUGUAAGGCUAGAGACCGGGAGGCGCAGAAAGUACAUUUGGGGUAGCGGUAAAAUGCUCUGAUCCCAAAUGGACUAACAGUCGCGAAGGCGUUCUGCGAGAACGGUUCUGACAGUGAGGGAUGAAGGCUAGGGGCGCAAAAGG
rnacentral:rRNA from 1 species